GAACGGGUGAGUAAUAUAUCGGAACGUACCCAGAAGUGGGGGAUAACGCAGCGAAAGUUGCGCUAAUACCCGCAUACGAUCUACGGAUGAAAGUGGGGGACCUGCAAGGGCCUUAUGCUUUUGGAGCGGCCGAUAUCUGAUUAGCUAGUUGGUGAGGUAAAGGCUCACCAAGGCAUCGAUCAGUAGCUGGUCUGAGAGGACGACCAGCCACACUGGAACUGAGACACGGUCCAGACUCCUACGGGAGGCAGCAGUGGGGAAUUUUGGACAAUGGGGGCAACCCUGAUCCAGCAAUGCCGCGUGAGUGAAGAAGGCCUUCGGGUUGUAAAGCUCCUUUGUCCGGGAAGAAACGGUGAUCUCUAAUAUAGAUUACUAAUGACGGUACCGGAAGAAUAAGCACCGGCUAACUACGUGCCAGCAGCCGCGGUAAUACGUAGGGUGCAAGCGUUAAUCGGAAUUACCGGGCGUAAAGCGUGCGCAGGCGGUUAUGUAAGACAGAUGUGAAAUGCCCGGGCUUAACCUGGGAAUGGCAGUUGAGACUGCAUGGCUAGAGUGUGUCAGAGGGGGGUAGAAUUCCACGUGUAGCAGUGAAAUGCGUAGAGAUGUGGAGGAAUACCGAUGG
rnacentral:rRNA from 1 species